UUAAUUUGAUAUGUUCGGCACAAGUUUUGGAAAUUAGAACACUUGAAAAUUCAUAUGUUUGAUUCGAGGUGCGAUUCACAAUUUCAGCAUUGAUUGAUGUGAUUUGGGGCAUCGAUUAGGUUAGCAUAAUUUGAUAGGACUUGUUUAUAUAUUCAUACGGGGUCCCGAGUGGCUCAGAUAAGUUUCAGACGAGGUUUGGAUUGUUUCAGAUCAUUUUUGGAUAAGGCGGAUGGCAGAGGUUCUGGUAUGUCCGCAUCUGCGGAAGGAUGAUGGUCGUGGAUGCGAGCCCGUAGAUGUGGCACUUUGGUCCCAAAAGAGGAAUUUGGACUAGAAAGGGGGAGCAGCUGAAGCUGAAUGUUGGGUGCAUCUGCACGUUGGCAUCUGCACGUCCACAGAAG
rnacentral:lncRNA from 1 species